UGGGUACGCGCCACAGUAUAGGAGCCCACAAGCAAGUGUGCUCCGUAAAGCAGCAGUACUGCAGACGGUCCAGUGGUAGGCCCAGCCGUCGCAGGGAGGAGAAACGCCGGGAGUCCAACCCGGCUGAUUUUCUGCUGCUUACUGUCCUGGAGAAACUCCGCGCGCGGUCGUAAGCGUACCUACAAGAGAAGUGGCGAUGGCCGGUAUCCGCCGGCGGCCCCCCCUCAAGACAGCAUGAGUGAGAAGUUCUGGCAGUACACAGGUGCUGCUGCUGAAGUUGUGGUUUACCUCGAACGCACCGCUGGGUUUCUUGCAACACCCCAAGAUGGCGCUCACCACCGCGCAUAUCGGCCGGCGCCACCGCGGCAGCGUUUCACAGUUUUAACCACAUGAGUGCCGAACUUGAGCUAAUUGGUAUGGCUGCUCAACAGAACCGGGUGAAAACGAAAAGGGCUUGGAGACAUCCCGUCACCUUGCUUGUCGUCUCCUGGUGUAACUCCAUGGAAACGCCAUGCGGCUCCUUCAGACCAACAAGGAAAGGAAUAAAAAGCCACAUGCGGAAACUACGCAGCCUACACCACCCAUACUUUGCCGUCCAGAAUAGUUCAGCCUUUCUGAAAGCCCUCGUCACCUCCUUAUUUCAGUGGCUCUUUGCUGGACGAAUGAUGUUCUGGACGUAUAAACAGGGAGCCAAGACGUCCAAGAGGACCCAUCCAAAGAGCCUCCAACAAAAGCUACGUUGUUCACGUUUGUUGUGUUCUCACUUAUAUUUGUGAGCCUCCGACAGUGCGGCUUAUUAAUAAUGAAAUAAAGCGUUUUGAAUUUUGUG